rnacentral:hammerhead_ribozyme from 1 species
AUCCAGCUGACGAGUCCCAAAUGGGACGAAUCGACGCGCGUGCUGGAU